CAUCGCCGCGGAGCCUCGGUUGGCCUCGGAUAGCCGGUCCCCCGCCUGUCCCCGCCGGCGGGCCGCCCCGCGGCCGCCCCCUCGCCCGUCACCCCUCGACACAAGGGUUUGUUAAAAAAAAAAGAAAAAAGAAAAAAGAAAAAAAGAAAGGGAAAAAAAUAAUAAUAACAAAAGCAAAUAAGUAAUAAUAAUAAUAAUAAUAAUGAGAUGGGAAAUGUGGCCAUGUGUUUUUCUUGUGCUUUUGCACAUUCUCUCUAGGCUUUGUCUGUGGUCAUGGAAUAAGAAAAGCCUUUUGGUUGCCUUGUUUGGAAUAGGUGCGGCUUUACUUCAUUCUCCACCUGAGAGGGUAGUUUACUGCAUGGGGCAUUUUGUUUGCUGGGAAAAGAAUCCAUGUAUGAAUCAUACCACUUAACAUUUCCCUGCCAGCGCUGUGUGCAUCUUUUGAUGUGACAUAUUUUUGUUUGUUUGUUCUUUUCUAUUUUCGUUGUUCUUCUUCUUAAAAAUGACAACUAACUUUGUUUAAAAAAAAUUGUGUUAAACAAUCUCAAAGUUACAGACACUUUGUAAGAACAGUACAAAGAACAUCCCUUGAACCAGUUGAUAGUAAGUUGACUACCUUGGAUAGUAAGUAUCUCCCCUGGAUACGUUAGUGUGUGUUUCCUAAAAACAGGACAUUCUUUUACAACCAUACUGUUUUUAAACUAUGCAAGUUAACACUGUUGUAUUACAGCAAUUUAAUCCUCAGACCGCAUUCAAGUUUCAUCAAUUGUCCAGUGAAUCCAUCACAGUUAAAGAAUCCACUUGAGAAUCCUUUGUUGCAUUUAGUUGUCAAUGAUUUUAGUCUUCUGUCUGCAGUGGUUAGUUUCUCUAUCUUUCCUUGACUGUU
rnacentral:lncRNA from 1 species